UUUAACAAUUUAUUUUUUCUAUAUAUUAAUCUUAUUAACUUAAUUUAAACAAAAUAAUAUAAAUCAACAUUUAAUAUAAUUACAACUUCUUUCUUAAACAAAAUUUAACUUUAAUCCUCUCUUAAAACUCAAUUUCAUGGAUAUUUUCUUAUUUAUCAUUUCUCUUGUCUGCUUUUUGCUUUUUCAAUUUUCCAAGUAUCGUCUGCUUAUUUUUUCCCCAUUUUUUUUUCUAUUUCAAAAUUCAAAUUUAUCUUACAAUUUACUUUAAAAUUUAUAUUAUGUCAAUUUUCAAAAAUCUAACAAUCUACUCCUACAACAUUCCUGGCCUACUUUCAAAAACAACUAUACUUAGGAAACUCCUUGAUCAAUAUGAUAUUAACAUUAUUUUAACACAAGAAUCUCUUAUUACCAAUAAUAUUUAAAAAAAAAAAGAGAAAACAAAACAAAAAAAAUAAAUAAAUAAAUUACAAAAACUAAUUCUUCUUCCUCUUUACUCCUUAAUCAUCCCCCCCCCUUUUUUCUAAUACAUAUUCCUAUCUUAUCUUUUUUAAUAAAUAAACAUUAUUUACAAUGUGGAUCCUGGCUUAUCCACGAGUGGUACCCGUCAUCCCACUCAAAUUAAACGGGACCCUGUCAGUAGGGUAAAUUACUGUCAACUUUGUGGAUCCUGGCUUAUCCACGAGUGGUACCCGUCAUCCCACUCAAAUUAAACGGGACCCAGACAGUAGGGUAAAUUUUCUGCCAAACGGUGAAUGCAAAUUCACUGCACUGGAGACGCCCUCUAUGGGGUGGUGGAGUGCCCACUUAAUUGUGGGAUGUCUCCCCAGUGUAUAAUAUGAUAUGAUUAUGAACUUGUAAAAAAAUAUAAAAAUUUGAUUGAGUAAUUUUAUGUGAUCUUUCGGUCUGCGGGAAAAUGGCUGAUGUUAAAUCGCACCUCCAAGAAAUAAUGAUAUCUAUCAAUUCUACAAAUACUUCUAUCACUCACAAUCUCAUUUUCAAGCACACUAUAUUCCUUAAAUAUUUACUUUGCGACUACAUACAUUUUUUAUGACAUGAAAAGCCUGACUUCUACUCUUCUGAAUCAAAACUCUAGUAAAUUCUUUCAAAUGCAUGGAAGAUGUUUGGGAGAGUAAUGAGACUCUUUUUUAAUUGCUGAGGAUUAUACAUAACACAUAAUAUAUCUCUGUCAAGUUAUUACUUUUAUUCAUUAAUUUUUUAUUUUUUCUAGAUUCAAAGAAAUAAAUUCUCUUCUUUAUUUACUAAUUUAUCUCAAUCAAUUCAUCAUAACUUAAUUCUUUCUUAUCUUCUCCAAUUCUUUACCUAAGUUACUAUAAAGUUUAGCAAGUACCAUUAUAAAUCAAUUAUUUAUUUCCUUUAACAAUUUAUUUUUUCUAUAUAUUAAUCUUAUUAACUUAAUUUAAACAAAAUAAUAUAAAUCAACAUUUAAUAUAAUUACAACUUCUUUCUUAAACAAAAUUUAACUUUAAUCCUCUCUUAAAACUCAAUUUCAUGGAUAUUUUCUUAUUCAUCAUUUCUCUUGUCUGCUUUUUGCUUUUUCAAUUUUCCAAGUAUCGUCUGCUUGUUUUUUCCCCAUUUUUUUCUAUUUCAAAAUUCAAAUUUAUCUUACAAUUUACUUUAAAAUUUAUAUUAUGUCAAUUUUCAAAAAUCUAACAAUCUACUCCUACAACAUUCCUGGCCUACUUUCAAAAACAACUAUACUUAGGAAACUCCUUGAUCAAUAUGAUAUUAACAUUUUUUUAAUUUUAACACAAGAAUCUCUUAUUACCAAUAAUAUAAAAAAAAAAAAAGAGAAAACAAAACAAAACAAAACAAAAAAGAGAAAACAAAAAUAAAUAAAUUACAAAUUAUAAAAACUAACUCUUCUUCCUUUACUCCUUCACCCCCCCCCCUCCUCCUUUUUUCUAAUACAUAUUCCUAUCUUAUCUUAUAAUAAAAAACAUUAUUUACAAUGUGGAUCCUGGCUUAUCCACGAGUGGUACCCGUCAUCCCACUCAAAUUAAACGGGACCCAGACAGUAGGGUAAAUUACUGUCAACUUUGUGGAUCCUGGCUUAUCCACGAGUGGUACCUGUCAUCCCACUCAAAUUAAACGGGACCCAGACAGUAGGGUAAAUUUUCUGCCAAACGGUGAAUGCAAAUUCACUGCACUGGAAACGCCCUCUAUGGGGUGGUGGAGUGCCCACUUAAUUGUGGGAUGUCUCCCCAGUGUAUAAUAUGAUAUAUGAUAUGAUUAAGAACCUGACUUCUACUCUUCUGAAUCAAAACUCUAGUAAAUUCUUUCAAAUGCAUGGAAGAUGUUUGGGAGAGUAAUGAGACUCUUUUUUAAUUGCUGAGGAUUAUACAUAACACAUAAUAUAUCUCUGUCAAGUUAUUACUUUUAUUCAUUAAUUUUUUAUUUUUUCUAGAUUCAAAGAAAUAAAUUCUCUUCUUUAUUUACUAAUUUAUCUCAAUCAAUUUAUCAUAACUUAAUUCUUUCUUAUCUUCUCCAAUUCUUUACCUAGGCUACUAUUAUUUAUCUUUUAUUUCAAUUAUUUAUUUCCUUUAACAAUUUAUUUUAUCUAUAUAUUAAUCUUAUUAACUUAAUUUAAACAAAAUAAUAUAAAUCAACAUUUAAUAUAAUUACAACU